ensembl:lncRNA
UGCUUAACAAAUCUAAAUGUGAAAUUCUAUGCCUGUAUCAGACUGAAGAGAAAAAAGUUUAAUUUACCUGUUAAGAAAUGUGUAAAAUAUUUAGGUAUUCAUAUCUGCAAGGAUCACAAGGAACGUCAACAACUAAAUUUUUCAUCUAAAUUGAAGAAAUCUAAAACAAUUUUAAAUUUAUGGCUUCAAAGAGAUAUUUCUAUUUUAGGAAGGAUUCUUUUGACUAAAGUAGAAGGAAUUUCAAGAUUUGUUUAUCCUGCUCUCUCUCUUAAUGUUCAUGAUUCAAUAUGUAAAGAUAUAAAUACCAUAUUUACAAAUUUUGUGUGGAAAAACAGACACCAUCACCUUAAAAAAGCGGUGCUCUCUGGUUCGAAGGAUGAAGGCGGUUUUGAACUCUUGGACUUUGGUGACUUAAAUUAUACCUUUAAGGUGAAAUGGUUGAAGGAAUGUUUGCGAGCACCUGAAUCAUUAUGGUAUUUUAUCCCCAAUAACAUUUUUAAUAGUGUAGGAGGCCUAAAAUUUUUAUUGAAAUGUAACUACAAUAUUACAAGAUUGCCGCUAAAACUAUCCCAAUUUUAUCAACAAGCUCUUUUGGCUUGGAAGCUCUGUCAUUCUCACAACUUCUCUCCACACAAGUCCAUCAUUUGGAAUAAUGAAUGCAUUACUAAAGGGAACAAGUCACUCUAUUUGCAGAAUUGGAUCGAUAGAGAGAUUAUAUUUUUAAAAGAUCUUUUUGAUGGUAAUAAUCAAUUAUUUAAGUAUGAAUCUUUUCUCAGAGAGAAGGCAUUUCCAAUAACAUUCAAAGAAUAUAAAUCUGUUUUCAAGUCUAUACCUAAUGGCAUAUUAGAACUAAUGAAAAGUUAUAAAAAACAAAACGAAGUUUCUGGUUUAAAUACUUCUCUUUAUAUAAACGGUAUGGAUAUUAUGAGUAGCAAUUGUACUAAUAAACAUAUCAAAAAAUGCUUUUUAAGUUUAAAGAAAAUAACACCUCGUGGAAAAUUUUUCUGGAAUUCUCAUUUUUCUGAGAUUAAUUGGCAUGAGGCGUGGCUUGUUCCUUUUAGAUUUUGUAUCACAAAUAAAGUUAGGGAAUUACAUUUGAAAAUAUUACACAAUAUAUAUCCCACAAAUUUGUUUAUUUCAAAAUUCAAACCUGUUGAUGAUUUUUGUAGUUUUUGUAAGACUAAACAAGAAUCUUUAUCUCAUCUCUUUUAUGGUUGUUCAUUUUGUAUUACAUUUUGGAAAAAUGUUGAAAGUUAUGUGGCAUUUAAAACGAAACAUACAAUAACGCUUGAAGGGAAACAGAUUAUUACAUAUUUUGAUUGUAGUAAUAGAAGUUUAUGUAAUAUUGUAAAUCUCUUUAUUUUACUAGGUAAAUUCCAUAUUCAUAAAGCUAAAUUUUCCAAAUCAAGACCAUGUUUUAAAUUUUUCCAAAAAUAA